ACUGGCAUUUAAACGAUUACAUGCUGUUAUUUUGAAAUUUCUUCUUCGCAGAACAGUUUGAAUGGUUUCACGUGCGUACUCGUGUCCGAAAACUGAGCGUGACGGUGGUCCAAUAAGCACGUAUCGUAUCCUUACUUAAAAACGAGCCAGCCUAGGUUCAAAGUGGGGCUGGAGCCUGACCCUGAGUCUGUGCUGGUGUAUCUGCUGUGCUCCUGCUGGGUUGGAUUGAGUGGGAGACUGUGCAGGCAGGAGGGAGAAGAGAGGAGGAUGGAGAGGAUGCCACAGUGGAGGAGCAGUAGGAGGAAGAGGUGGAACAGGAGCAGGAGGAGGUGGAGCAGGAGGAAGAGGAGGGGACAGCAUGCUGUGUCUGGGGUAUUCCCAGGACAGGAGAGCGCUGAGGCUCGGGUGUGCCAGUUAGCACAGAGCACACAUCCAGCUGUACAGGGCUGUGACGAUGUGUGGACAUGCUGACCAUGAUCACACUGCCCGGCAGAUUGUGAAGAGUCACAGCUCCAGCUGAGGAAGGAGUGCUGUUUGACUUUGUAAAUAAAUGAAAAUCAAGUUCA